rnacentral:tRNA from 1 species
UGACGUGUAGCUCAAUGGUAGAGCAUCUGACUGUUAAUCAGACGGUUGCAAGUUCGAGUCUUGCCACGUCAGC